ensembl:lncRNA
AUUUAAACACUGGCUCUGAUGCUUAAAAUGUUUCACUACACGAUCUCACCCAUCUAGAUUCCUCUUCCUGUAAUGCUUGUGGAAUUUUACACCGAUAAUAAACCUGUAAUUCAACUUUGCCUCUUUUAUAUUUACUAUCUAGGUGCUGGCAAAUGACACGCCCUCAGAGUUUAAGAAGCCGGACCCGUUUCAGCAUCAACACACCCUACAGCGCUUCUUAUUCACAGCAUACAUAAUCAUCCGUCUUAUCCGUACAGACAUGGAGGCCAGACUGAUUGUAGCGGUUGUGUUUAUCUGCGCUGUUUGUCGCUUCUCUGAAGUCCAGCUGCAGAACACGACACCACUAACUAACAACAUCACUCGUACUGGUUGCGGCACCACUAAGCUGUGUGUGUCGACUCCGUCUAAUUGCGAUCUUGCAGGAAACUCCAGCUGUUAUUUCAGCUCUACUCAGUACAAUAAUGCAACACUGACCGUGGAACUCUCCGGCACAACUUCAGGAUACGUGGCAUUGGGACUCACAUCCACUAGCAGCCUACUUAAUUUCAAUGGAACUGCUGUGUUCGUCUGUGGCAACAAUAACAACAGCGCCUUCUUCGAAACAGCUAUUCAGAACGGCUCAGUGUUGACUCCUGCUAACCUGACCGCCUUAAAUAUAACCAGUGUUCAGGGUUCAGUAUUGGGAAACGGGAGUCUUGUUCAGUGUGUCUUCAAUGUCACCCUCAAUUCCACCUUCCUCAAUUCCAUCUUCCUCAGUUCAACUGUUCAGCUGUCUUCCAACAUCAGCAUCUAUAAUGGAAGCACAAAUGGAACUGAACUGGAAAAUGCAACUACAUUAAUUACCACCGGACCUUUCGACUUGGCAAAUCCCAAGAGCAAUAUUCCAAGCAACAGCACAACACCACUGCUCAACAUCACUCGUAACGGUUGUGGCGCCACUAAGCUGUGCUUGUCAAAUGCGUCUACUUGCGAUCCAGCAGGAAACUCCAGCUGCUUUUUCAGCUCAUUUCAAGUGAACAACCAAAGUAUCUACUAUGAACUUAGUGGCACGACAUCAGGAUAUGUGGCGCUGGGACUCACUACCCAGAAUUCUACCUUUGUGUUUGUGUGCGCCAACAACACUAACAACAGCAGUUUCUUCUUUCAAACGGCUACUAAAAACGGCUCAGUUCUGACUGCUGCAAAUGUGACCACCGUAAACAGCUAUCAAGGUGUUGUAACACAAAACCUCAUUCAGUGUGUCUUCAACACCAGCGCCACUUUAAGCACCAGAGCUUCUAACACUGUGUACAGGAUCUACCUCAUGAACGGAACCACCAACGGAACUGAACUGGGUAUUGCAACUACACUGUAUACCUCCCCAUCAGCAGUAGACCUGUCUAAUCCUAGUGCCUUAAACACUGCAAACACCAACUUCUGCACUAAUGUGUUGGCUGUGCUGCUCGCCACUCUGACUCUACACCUCAUAUAAAAACCUGCCAUGUUCAUUUUAAUAUAAAAUCCCCAGAGCCUAUAAAUGUGUGUUACAGUAUCUGAUCUGUCAUAUACAGUAUAAACAUCACCCUUUUAUUUAUUUAUUUUAUUUUUUUUUUACAGUCAAUACGAGAAAUUCAUUUGCACUUCCAUAGACGUCAGACUUUUAAAUAUAAAAAUUUAUAAUAACGAGGGCGCAAAUGUUUUGAAUAAAAUCUACUUUAUAUGAUCAUUUUAAUUAUUAAAUAAUUGUAAUUUCAGUAAUUUCAUGCUCAUCAUUUUUAUUUGAGAUACUUUAUACACCUAGGUGAAUGUAAGUUUCCACCCCUAAAACCUUCUAUAUGUUUUUCACUUUUGUUGGUUGAUAUCAUACUAAAGGUAAACAAAUAUCUAACAUGACUUGAUUUUAUUUUGGUGUUUUUUAAAUAUCAUUUAAACUAUUUUAACAGGUGUGUAGACUUUUUUAUAGUCACUGUGUGAGCUCACAGCUGGGAAAAUACACACGAGUGAAAGCAGCCUUAACGGUGUAUUUCUUUCUUUUUUACAUUUGACCUACAAUGUUGUCUAAAAACACUCAUGCCGAUUUUGUAAUGAUCUAAACUGCUAAAAUACCUAACUACAAAAGAUUUCCAUAUCAGCAUAUUUAUACAUUGUCAUAUGUGGGUUUGUUGUUGUUGUUGUGUCACAUUAUUAAGAUGGCCCCAUUUAUAAUGACUACAGUACUGUGCAAAAGUUUUAGGCACCCUAUUUGUUGUUGUUUUUUGUACAAACUUUGUUUGCUUGUUUUUUUUUCAUUUAAUGACGUCUACAUUAUGGAGUCGGUACGAAAAAAAAAACGUUUUAGAUUCCCAAACAUUCGUUUUCUGGCACAAAAGUAAAUGUUACAGAAAAAAGUAAAUCUUACAGUUGUUAAAGAAAGCAGCGUAUUAAGAGGUAAUAGAUGACUUUUCAGGCAAAAAAACCAUGACGAACGCUGCUGGGUUUCGCUGCAAAAAUAAGAAGUGCGUGCAACAGUCAAAGUCUCCAGAAGGUUCUGCGAGAUGCUCAGUAAGCCAGUAGCUCAUUUCCUUAUAAAACUGCACUAAUUAUACCGGAGACUACUAUUUUAUUUUUAUUUCUUUUUUUGUCACUAGAUAUUGACUUUGUUUCAUUUACUAUCAUUUAUUGCUCUUUAUGGUAUUUUUUUUUAAAUGUAGAAACAUUCCAUUUCAUUAUUUCAAGACAUCUUUGCUCUACAAUGACAAAAAAUUUUGUGCGGUACUCUACGUCUAGUCUCACUGUCUGGGUUUCUGAUAUGUGACACACCUGUAUAUGUGCGGCUUCAAAUAACACACCUGACCCGCACAGCCAGACAUUCAAUAUCAACUGAUACUAGUGUGUUCGCAUCUUUGUUGUCUAAUCAUUAUGCUGAAGAAAUGCUUUAAACAACACACCCUUAAACUAGCACACCAUACACCCUUCUCAAACACCCAAAUUCAAACUCUUCAAUCCUCACGCAAGCUGUACUUCAUGCACAAUGUGUAGAUCAGGUUAUGGUAUAUUAAUAAAGUGUGAAAUAUUGCUGUUCAUUACAGUUUGUGUGUUAUCCGGGACCGGCUUUGUUUACAAAAAUCUCUCAAUUAAAUAAAAUCCCAUUAAAAGCCUUGUGAUUGCUUUACCACCCUUGAAAGUGGAUUGAAAGAUAAUGUUAAUUAUACUCUUUAUUUGGCAUCCCUGAGAACUUGAACUGGAGUAACCCAAGACCACACCUUAUUUAUGAAACAGUUGGGAAUUACCGUACAUUAAUCCUCUGUUCUCUCAUCCUUCCAGCCCUGCAUUAGCAUACAGGAAGUACACAGAUCUGACUGAGUAAUAUUUAAAGCAAGAAGAAGUAAAAAGGUUUAUUCAAAAAUGCCAGUAAAUGGGAAG